CAGCAGUGAGGAAUAUUGGUCAAUGGACGCAAGUCUGACCCAGCCACGCCGCGUGCAGGAGAGAUGACGGUCCUUCGGGAUUGUAAACUGCUUUUAUACGUGAAGAAACACUCCUAAAGAGCUUGUUUACCGUAAGAAUAAGCAUCGGCUAACUCCGAUCGCUGCCAGCAGCCGCUGGGUAAUACCGAGGAGCCUACGCGUUAUCCGGAAUCAUUGGGUGUAAAGGGGCCGUAGGCGGUUUAGUUAGUCGGUGGUGAAAAGCCUCGCUCAACCCUGGAACCGCAAUUGAUACGGGCGACUUGAAGUACUGGGAAGAGCUGGAAUAUCUAGUGUAGCGGUGAAAUGCUCAGAUAUUACAUGGAACACCAAUUGCGAAGGCAGGUUCUACCAUUAUUGACGCUGAUGAGCGAAAGUGUGGGGAGCGAACAGGAUUAGAUACCCUGGUAGUCCACACCGUAAACGAUGGAUACUAGCU
rnacentral:rRNA from 1 species